rnacentral:rRNA from 1 species
AAUGAACGCUGGCGGCAUGCCUAACACAUGCAAGUCGAACGAGACCUCCGGGAGUAGUGGCGCACGGGGGUGUAACGCGUGGGAACCUGCACUUAGGUUCGGAAUAACUCUCCGAAAGGGGUGCUAACACCGGAUAAUGUCUUCGGACCAAAGAUAUAUCGCACUUGGAUGUGCGCGAGUUGGAUAAGCUAGUUGGUAGGGUAAAAGCCUACCACGGCGACGAUUCAUAGCUGGUCAGUGAGAAUGAUCAGCCACACUGAGACGAGGACACGGCCGGGACUCUUACGCGAGGCAGGAGAGCGUAAUAGUGCACAACGGGGGGAAUGAUGAUGCAGCAAGGCCGGUUAAGUGAUGUAGUUCUUAAAGAUGAAAAGCUCUUUUACCCGGGAUGGUAAUGACAGUACCGAAAGAAUAAGCUCCGGCUAACUCCGUG